rnacentral:rRNA from 1 species
AGCGAACGCUGGCGGCAGGCCUAACACAUGCGAGUCGAACAGGCAUAGCAAUAUGUCCGUGGCAGACGGGUGAGUAACGCGUUGAAACGUACCUAUUGGUUCGGAACAACACAGGGAAACUUGUGCUAAUACCGGAUAAGCCCCUACGGUGAAAGAUAUAUCGCCGAAAGAUCGGCCCGCGCCUGAUUAGCUAGUUGGUAGGGUAAUGGCCUACCAAGGCGACGAUCAGUAGCCGCUCUGAGAGGAUGAUCGGCCACAUUGGGACUGAGACACGACCCAACCUCCUACCGGAGGCAGAAGUGGUGCAUCUUGGACAACCGGCGAAAGGCUGUGCCAGCCAUGCCGCGUGAGUGACGAAGGCCCCAGGGUUGUAAAGCUCUACUGUGCGGGAAGAUAAUGACGGUACCGUAAGAAUAAGGCGCGCCCACACUCGUG